rnacentral:rRNA from 1 species
UCAUAGUUGGUGUAAAAUAACAGAUCCCAUCAGAACUCCGAAGUUAAGCGUGCUUGGGCGAGAGUAGUACUAGGAUGGGUGACCCCCUGGGAAGUCCUCGUG